AUCGUGCCCUGAAGUGACACCGCGGAAGGGGAGAAUGGGAGGAGACGGCGGCGGAGGCUGGCCGGUGUUCGGUUUCACCAGCUCACACGUGACCGCAAUGGCUGCUUGUCAGUUCCUUGCAGUGCAUCAUUCCUCUGCCGCCCUGCGAAUGUAGCCUAGGCUACAUCAGUGCUCUCGCUUCUUUGAACUGUCGGUGCGGACAAUACCACCCGCCGAAACGAAAUUCCUCUACACGUUCAGCAGAACAGCUCACCGGCUGAGAAGAAGAACGACAUUCGGGAGAGAAAUUAAAGCGUCUCUGGGUUCAACUUCCACCAACCAACACAGCGGUAGGAGGAGUCAACAGGUGUUUCUCUCUGGUGUGGUGCUGGUGCUGUGACUGUCUGAAGAGAUUUAAGACUGAGAAAUCCAGCAGCAGGUCACCGUGUUGGACUGACUCGCUCUGAGCAUUUGAGCAUUUUGUGACCUCUGGAGCACCGCGUCUCGAUUCCUCUUGCGUCACAUCGUCCUAGUCAGUCCUCCUGAAUACUGGGGGUUUGGAGUGAGCUCAGGUCCCCGUGAAGAUUCAAACCAAUCCGCUGCUGCUACAGAACAUCCCUGUCAAACAGUGCUGGAAUAUACUGCCUUACAUACUUCUAUUCCAAGAAAACAUUGGGAUUGUAUCCAGAGAGUUACAUGACACCAA